GACGGUAUAGCUCAAGUAUUAGAGCAUGUGGUUAUCAUACACAAGGUCCUGGGUUCAAUUCCCAGUACCUCCU
rnacentral:tRNA from 1 species